UAAUAAAUAUUCUGUGUAAUGAUAUAUAGUAUAAAACGCGACCGUCUAAAUUCUUGGUUGUUUACGAGAAAAGCGGAUUACGGGUACGCUUCUUCUAAGAUAAAUCUCUCCCCGAUUCUCUCUU
rnacentral:sRNA from 1 species